rnacentral:tRNA from 1 species
UGUAAUUUAGUGUAAUUAUGCACUUUAAUUUUUGAAAUUAAAAGUUGAAUUUGAAUUUCAAUAUUACAA